AAUUUUAAGGUGGUAAUUAUAAACAUUCCAACGCGUCAUUUUUAUUCUCCCUACGCAACAAAGACAACUUUGCUCCAUUUAUUGCCAACAUCAAGCAAGGUCAGGAGCAGUAUGCAAUCUACUGUUUGUCUGGUUAUGGACCAGUCUUUGGUGGAGGUAAUGAUCUGGUCAUUUGUAACAAUCCUCAAGUUGAUCAAUCAUGCAGCAAUUUUGGACACACAUAUCAACUUCCCCCUGGUUAUGUCUAUGGAAGUGAACAAGCAAAGAACCUUCUUACUGGUCAGCACCAAUUCUUAACGACAGAAAUCGAAGUCUUCAGCUGAAAAGUGCCUUUGUUUACUUACUUCAACGAAAAAUAACAUUACAUUGAUUACGUAGCAAUCACUUUUGGACAGUGAUUUUGCGAUGUUAUAAAGUAUUAAGAAUUAAUAUGAAUAUUCUGAGUCAUGUACUGUAGGAAUUUUAAAAAUUAAAAUUGGGCGUUUGCCUCAACAGUAGCGGUUACUUGAGUCAACAAAUCAAAGGCCUCGAAGAAAUGUGAUAAACUGAUUGUUAUACAGCCGACGGUAAUCAAUUAUCUAAUCCGCAUAUAGCCUAGGUAAAUGUUCGAAAAUUGGAAGAACAUUUAAUUU